ACGAGUUACAAGAGCUAGUAGUGGUUGAACAUUAAAGAGGGCAUUGAAUAAUAAUGGGCUUAUCAGAAAUAGUAAUGAAGCAGCUGGAUACGCCAUGAGCCAUAGCUUUGCCUUUAAGGAUAUUAAACUACCAAAAUAGAAAAAAAGGCCGAAUAGAUGAUCAGAUCAAUAGCUUAGAUCGAAGUUGAAUGAAAAUCGCAGCAAUGGCGGUAGCAGCAGCACCUCAAGAACAGAUGAUGUCGUACUACGAUCAUAUCCAAAAGCGUAGGGAAGAUAAAGGCUGUCUCUAUGCUUUUUUGUUUACGUUGUGUUGCUGUUGUUGCUGCUAUGAAACUUGCGAGUGUUGUGUGGAUGGCGUAUGUUGCUGCUGCUGAUCUUAAUGCAUAGAUAUGGCCCUUUCUAAUGCAGCUCAGUUCAAAUCAAACAAAGUUCUUAAUUUGAAUUAGCCAUCUAUAUGUUUUGUAAAAUUUGUUAGAUUAUGUUUUUUUUUUGGUACAAUUACUUUCCAGAUAGAAGAUUCAACCUUCCAUUUGUAAAGGAAUACAUGAUGAACAUUAUUUUUCUAAUGUAAUACUUGUAUUCAAAAUG